rnacentral:rRNA from 1 species
AGAGUUUGAUCAUGGCUCAGGAUGAACGCUAGCGGCAGGCCUAACACAUGCAAGUCGAGGGGUAGGACACUUCGGUGUUUGAGACCGGCGCACGGGUGCGUAACGCGUAUGCAAUCUACCUUGUACAGGGGAAUAGCCCAGAGAAAUUUGGAUUAAUGCCCCAUAGUAUUACGAAACGGCAUCGUUUUGUAAUUAAAGUUCCAACGGUACAAGAUGAGCAUGCGUCCCAUUAGUUAGUUGGUAAGGUAACGGCUUACCAAGACAAUGAUGGGUAGGGGUCCUGAGAGGGAGAUCCCCCACACUGGUACUGAGACACGGACCAGACUCCUACGGGAGGCAGCAGUGAGGAAUAUUGGUCAAUGGUCGCAAGACUGAACCAGCCAUGCCGCGUGCAGGAAGACGGUCCUAUGGAUUGUAAACUGCUUUUAUACAGGAAGAAACCCUCCCACGUGUGGGAGCUUGACGGUACUGUAGGAAUAAGGAUCGGCUAACUCCGUGCCAGCAGCCGCGGUAAUACGGAGGAUCCAAGCGUUAUCCGGAAUCAUUGGGUUUAAAGGGUCCGUAGGCGGUCUUAUAAGUCAGUGGUGAAAGCCCAUCGCUCAACGAUGGAACUGCCAUUGAUACUGUAGGACUUGAAUGCUUAGGAAGUAACUAGAAUAUGUAGUGUAGCGGUGAAAUGCUUAGAUAUUACAUGGAAUACCAAUUGCGAAGGC